UGGGAAUCUUGCGCAAUGGGCGAAAGCCUGACGCAGCGACGCCGCGUGAGUGAUGAAGGCCUUCGGGUUGUAAAGCUCUGUGGAGGGGGACGAAUAAGGGCCGUCGAAUAGACGGCUCGAUGACGGUACCCCUUUAGCAAGCACCGGCUAACUCUGUGCCAGCAGUCGCGGUAAGACAGAGGGUGCAAACGUUGUUCGGAAUUACUGGGCGUAAAGCGCGUGUAGGCGGCUCGGCAAGUCGGGUGUGAAAGCCCCGGGCUUAACCUAGGAAGUGCACUCGAAACUGCCAAGCUUGAGUUCUGGAGAGGAAGGCGGAAUUCUCGGUGUAGAGGUGAAAUUCGUAGAUAUCGAGAGGAACACCGGUGGCGAAGGCGGCCUUCUGGACAGCAACUGACGCUGAGACGCGAAAGCGUGGGGAGCAAA
rnacentral:rRNA from 1 species